AGAGUACCACUAAUAUAAUGAUCUCUGGAAUGAUGUCCUAAAUGGGAUUGUAGUGUGAUAGGAAAUGGUGGCUUAGGUGUCCCCUUAGGGAGAGUACAAUUUUCGUUAUAAGGAUCAUAAGAGAUCGGAUCAUGAUGGAUACAGAGCUUUGGAGUAGUAAGGGGAAAAAAAAAGACCCUAUAGAUUACCUCCUUGAGGUAUUAGAGGGUAGUUUAGAGUUAAACAGAGGAAAGGACAAUGACUGCAA
rnacentral:misc_RNA from 1 species